rnacentral:lncRNA from 1 species
CAUGGUGGUCAUCAUGUGUUAUAUUUGCUUAGACAGUGCUCAGUCCUCCGUACCCAUGGUGCUGGUCACCAACUGCGUGGUGCACGUCGUAAUGUACACCUAUUACCUGUUGUGCACCCUGGGGAUGCACCCCAAGUGGAAGAAAAUGGUGACGGAUUUUCAACUAGUGCAGUUCUGGUUAAGCUUUUUGAUCAUGGCCAUGCUUGUGUUCUACCACUUCACUGCUUCUGGCUGCUCUGGGAUUCUGAGUUGGUGUUUCAAUGCAGCCUUCAUCGUCUCUCUUCUCUACUUGUUCUCAGACUUUCAUGCCAAGAGUUACUCCACCAAUGCCAAGGUCUUCAAGGGUAACUAAUAAUUAAUUAAACUACCUUUUCUUUUCUUUUCUUUUCGUUUUCAUUUUUAUAUGUAGUUAUUGUUUCAGAGUGAUUCAUCAGUUGAAGAAAAAAAUGAACAUAAUUGUCAUAAAUUCCUUUUACGAUUUCAAUUCUUCGGUGUGCAUAUGUAUCUUAAUAUCAAUUAAUUGAAGAGAUUCAUUGUUAAUUUAUAUUUUAUGUUUUUACUGUAAAUGCAUGAUUAAACAGUUCCUGCUGCAUGCAAUUGUAUUAUAUUAUCGUUUCUAAUGACGAAGAAAAUGGAACAACCGUGAAGUGAAAAAAAAAAAAAGGUUGAUGAGAAAAAUAAAUCAAGGCGGACAUAGAACUUGUUGUCGCAGUCAACAUUAAAUAUGGUAAGCAGGUGAGUUAAUAAGUUUGACAGGUACUCACCAAAAAUUAACUUGUACCUUUUAUCGUCAUAUAUAUUAUUUAAGAUAUUGCAUGCUUUUGUCGUUUUCAUUACACCAAUAUUUUAUGUCUAGUAAGAUUUGGAACAACACCUCAUGAUUCAUCCAUUAAAUUCCAAUUUAGCGUUAUAUAAGUUUUUUUUUUCUUAGAGAAUAUUAAGAAAAUCCAGUGUCAUAUAUACACAACAUGAAAUAAAUUUUGGUAAUAAAAAAAAUUUGAGAGUAGGGCACCAAAUUAUAGUCCAGUAUUUCAAAUUAAUUUGGUUAUAAGGUCAACAAUCAAUUAUGCAAAUGAUGUAAACCUAAGACACUACUUUAUCACAUGUAUUGUUUCUACUGAUUAGUUUUAAUCAAUUGAAGUUAAUUGGAAAUAAAAUAAAGUAAUUGAUUAUGAAAUUGAUAGAGACAACAGGUCAACCAAAUGAAUUAUUUUUCCUAUAUUAAAUUAUAAAACAUUCAAAAUGUAGUUAUGACACACGAAUAAGAUUUAUAUAAAAAUAUAUAUAUUUAUUAAAAUUUUAUAUGAAAAUCAAAUCAAAUGAAAUUGAAGUUUUUAAAAUUAUAAUGUUUAUGGUGAAAUCAAGUAACAUCUAAAACAAUCAUUAAAAAAAUUGGAGAUUAAUAAGUUAGAAUUGUUUGGAGAGAUGUUACUGAAAAUGAAAAUUACUUUGACGAAAAUCAUAUUAUUAUAUUUUUUAAUAUGAGAGCUUCAAUCUUAUUAGAUUUAUAAUUUUACUUUAUAUUAUCUUUAAUUAAUAUUAUAAUUAUAAUUUAUAAUGAUAAUUAUUUAUUAUUUAUUAUUUAUUAUUAUUAUUUUAAAAUUUCAUAACCUUCGUUACUUACGGUUUGUUUAAGGUUACACACAAAAUUAAUGAAAAAUUAUAACCUCUGUUGCUUGAGGUUUGCUUAAGGUUGUACACAAAAUUAAUGAAAAAAUUAUAACCUUCAUCACUUAUGACUUGUAUUAUAAAAGGUAAAAAAUCAAGACAAAUUAAUUCAUCGUGUUUUUCUUCAUCAAAUCUGAUAGACGACUUCAAUUAAACAUUAGAUAAAUCUCUAUUGAUUUUAGUUUGCAUAAUACGAAAAACUUCAAUUUUUAAAUUUGAUCCAAUUUGAAUUUAAAUUUUAUUUAAUAAAAUAUUUAUAUUAUUUUAAAUUAGAAAAUAUAUUUAAAAAGUAAAAAAAGACAGAUUUAAUAUUAAAAUUAAAAAUUAAUGUUUUAACUUAAUUAAAUUUAAAUAUUAAUAUUUAAUUUGGUAAUUUUAAUAUAUUAAAAUCCCAAAUAAUUUUAUCUAUUAAUGUACAAUUACAAAUUAAAUCAACUUUAUGCUCAAAAUAAUUUUUUUAAUAUAUAUAUAUGAAUUAUAAAAAUAGAAUUGUUCUAAGUUUUAUUCCAAAAUCAAAGUGUUAAAAUAGGAUGCAUUUCUUAUAUUAAUAUUUUAUUUUCAUAUUAAAAUAAUAAAAUGUAAAUUAAAAUGAGUUGAAAUUUAAUAAAUAUUAAAUUACACUUUCUAAUUAACUCCAAUUGCAUAUUGAUUGUCAUUAGGAUUAUCUAAUCACAUAUUAUUUUUUAUAAUACAAAUAUGAGAAAAUAUUUAGUACAUCAGUGAAAUUUUUAACUUUCACAAGUAAAGUUAGAGAGUUUAACAAGUUAUAGGGAUAGAGUAAAAUAUUUAAAAAAAAGAAUCAUAUAACAAAAUUUUAAGGUUGUUUGUGAAAUAAAUAAAAAAAUACACUACCACUAUAACAAAUACUAACCUUGCAAAUAUAUUUACAAUAUAAAAUGUUUUAAAACAUUAAGAGUAAAUUAAAAAUAAUAAUAAUAAUAAUAAUAAUGUGCAACGUGUGUGAGGCUAAAAACUAAUAUAUAUAUAAAAUACAAAGUAAAAAAAAAGGACUAAACUAGGUUUAAGUUUUGAGUAUUAGAGUUCAAGCUUGAUUCAUAUUUUAAAUGAGUCUAAUAUUUUUAUUUAAAACUAUUUUUAAACUUCAUAAUUUUAUUCAAAUGUAUUUAUUAUAUAAAAUCAAAUUCUUUUGGGAGUCAUUAGGAAUUAAUAAGGAUAAUUUAGGUAGUAAAAGUUAAAGACAAUUAUAUAUUUUGGAAAAAAUAAUUAUUUUAAAAUUUAAUAAAACUAACUCCCUUUUAGUAAUUAGGAAUUAAUAAGCACAAUUUAGACAUUAAAAUUUUAGAUAAUUGAAAUUUUUUAAUUACUUAUUUUAAAAUUUUUUAUUCCAUUUUAAUUAUUUGUAUUUAAAAUUUUUUUAAGUCCAAAUGAAAUUAUUUAUGCUUAAUUAAUUAAUCUUUUACCAAAAAAUAUUUUUUAAAAUUUUUAAUAAUUUAAUAAUUUUAUUUUAAUAUAAAAAAAUCUAUAUUCCAAGAAUUUACAUACCAAAAUGUAUAUAAAAAAAUUAAAUAGUAAGUUGAUGUUUUUAAAGGAAAAGGUGAGUAAAAAAUAAAAUAUUUUUAAGAUUAUUAAAAGAGAUAAUAUCUAUAUGUAAUAGUAUCAGUAUCAGUAUCAGUAUCAGUAUCUAUAUGUAUUAAUAUGAUAUUUACUUUUGUUUUCUUCUAAAUUUAAAUUGGUUAGUUUCUUUACUUUUACUAAAUAUAUUAUUAUAAAAAAAUUUAAUAAAUUUUCAAUUCAACUUUAAUUUCAGCUACACAUUUUGUAUAUGGUAAUAUUUGUUAUUAAGAAUAUUUGAUAUAUUAAUUAGCUUUUCAGUUACAAGUUUUUUUUUUAUAAAUAGUUUGUUUUGUUCCAUCAUAUUAUUUUAUCCUAAUUUUCGUUUGAUCGUAAUUUUAUCUUUAUUUUUAAUUUUUUUCUCUAUUAAGAGGUUAGUUUUUUAAAUGGAUACACGUGUUUACAUGCUAUUUUUAAAUAAAUUAUUAGUUUUUUUUUUAAUCUAUUUCUUUGUUUUUCAAUGUCAAGCUCGAGUCUAAAACUUUUUUAUUUUUGAAUUGAGAGUAUAGUUUUUCUUUCUAGUCCUCAUCGUAUUCUAACAUAAAAAAUUAAAAAUCCAUUAAUAACACUAUUUACUAAUAUUAUACAAAUAUAUAUCCAAAAUAGAUUACAAGAUUUCCUUUUAUGUCCAUUUUUAAUAUUUUUUUAUAAUAAUUCCAUGUAGGGGAAAAAUCAGGAUUUUAUUGUUUGAAGUUUAGAUGAAGCAUUUCUCUUUUCCAUUUUCUUACUCUUUUGUUAUUCUCAAUAUUUAUUGUUGCACGUGAAAAAGUUAUUGGUGCUACUGCCCAGCUUUGGAUAUCAUUCUAUAUUUAAAUUGGGUAUGAAUUAUUAUAGGUAUAUUUCAUUUAUAUGAUUUGACAUGUUGAUGGCAUAUUUUAUAAAAUCAUAUCAAUUUUCUAUAUAAGGUAAAAUUGUAUUUUAUUUUCUUUUUUUUAUUACAUAUCCAUUAUUGAUAGUAGUGACUAUUUUUUUUUGUUGGUGUUUUUCAAAGAGAUAAACGAUUAGUUAUGAAAUAUGCUCUAUUGUUAAUAAAGGGGCAAUGGAAGAAGAUUGGAUUUGAGUUGUUGGACUAAAAAAUUUCAAAAUUGACUUAAAAAGAAGAAGUCAAACAGAUUUAAAAAUAAUAGUAAAGAAAAAAUACAGAAACAACUAAAAGAAAAAAAUUAAGAACAAAGAAUAAAGAUUUAAAACAAUAAAUAAAUAAAACGAAAAUUAAAAAUGUGGUUUAAAAAAUCGAUUGAUAUAAUGGCUAGAUGAAUAAGUGUCCAAUUGAACUAUUUGAGACCAAAAUCACACAACAAAUUCAAGUAAUAACUCUAAUGGAACUCUAAUUAAUCUAAAUAAAAUAAAGAGUUAUAUGAUAAGCAAGUUCUGAUGAAAAAUUCCUAUUACAUAGUGAGAUGACAAGUAAUGGAUUUUGAUAACAAUUUUUAUUAAAUUGGGAAGUGAUAAUGUAGUGAAUUAAUUUGGUAAAAGUUUUGUUCUUGUCAAUCCAUGAAAAGAUAAAAGUAAUAAAUUAUGGUAAUAAUGAAUCAUAUAAAUAUGGAAUUAUCUGUUAUUAAAAUAUGCUCUGCUGAUUAUUAAGAUAUGUUCAAGAAUUAUAAUAGUAGUAAUUUUUUAUAUAUAGAGUUUAAGGUAAAAAAAAAAACGAUUUGGAUUCCUGGGUACUUACUAAGCUUUUACAAGUGUAACGUGUGUUUUAAACACGUAGAUGGAAGAUCGAAUUAAAGCUCUAGAUUCAGGUUGAGAUUUCAACUCAUCUCAUCUCAUCUCAUAACCAAGGCUUGAAGAGAGUACGAAUUUGAUAUUUUGGUUAUAGAAUAUGACAUGUACACAAGUUACUGCAACUGUUUUGAUAUAAUUUGAGUUUUAUAAUGAUUAAUUGACGUGAAAUCGUCGAAGUUGCUUCGGCAAUGAAUGUAACAUCUAAGUACUUUGACCCGAUGUUCGGGUCGGAUAUGAGGGUGUUACAUUGUUGGUAACCAUUUUGUAACUUUUCAUAAUUAGGUAACAAAAAAUUUCACUAAUAAUUAGGUAUUAAUUUUAUAAUUUUUCAUACUUGGGUGAACAAAAAGAAUUUACUAAUAGUUGAAGGAUUUACUAAUAGUUCAGUGAGUAAUAGUUUGAUUUACCCAAAAAUCUAUGUACUUACAAGAGGGGUAGGCUAAUUACCCCCUAUCCAUAAAUGAAUUCAUUACUGGAGGACCAUUAUCCAUAAAUGAAUAAACUUAAACAGGAAUGCAGUGGAUGGAUCAAUGAUAUCCAGUACCGGUAGGCAGUUGAGGUAGAGAAAAUAUUGGGUCAUCAGUAACUUUUCAGUGCUUAUAAAGGCAAUCCCCCCCCUCCUCCUUUUUGCUGCAGCUUUAUUAACUGACGUAGUACUAGAGUAGUAAAGGCAGCAGCAAGAUGGAAGUUCCCUUUUUCCCAACCCUUUUCUCCUGUAUCAAAGACUUGGUGGUGCAACAAGCCUUGUUCUCAACCUUGGAGGAUUGGCUAGUGAAGCAUCCCAAAAUCCUCCAGUUUUCAUGGGAAAAUGGCCAAACACCAGCCUCCUCUCAUCGCUUCCUCACCCUCACUGUCUUGUCUUACAUCUCUUUCACCUUCGUUCUCUCCCAACUAUCUCGCCCUUCACUUUCACGUCCACUCCUCAAAUCAAUCGCAGCCGUCCACAACAUCUUCCUCCUUACCCUUUCUUUCAUCAUGGCCCUGGGUUGCCUCGUUUCCAUCUUCUCCCAGGUGCCUAACUUCAACACCCUCGUUUGCUUCCCUAGGGGUACAUCCCCAUCGGGCCCUCUCUUUUUCUGGGCAUACAUCUUCUACCUCUCCAAGAUUGUUGAAUUCAUGGACACCCUUUUGAUCAUCCUCAGCGGAUCCAUGAAGAGGCUAUCCUUCCUUCACGUCUACCAUCACUCCAUGGUGGUCAUCAUGUGUUAUAUUUGCUUAGACAGUGCUCAGUCCUCCGUACCCAUGGUGCUGAUCACCAACUGCGUGGUGCAUGUCGUAAUGUACACCUAUUACCUGUUGUGCACCCUGGGGAUGCACCCCAAGUGGAAGAAAAUGGUGACGGAUUUUCAACUAGUGCAGUUCCGGUUAAGCUUUUUGAUCAUGGCCAUGCUUGUGUUCU